GUUUUAUAAAGAAGCACGAAGAGAACAGGCUCUAAGAAGUGCUGGCAACCUGCUUAAGCAAGGUGCUAAUUCCUGCCUAAACUAUUUAGGAAAUAUAAAAC
rnacentral:ncRNA from 2 species